rnacentral:rRNA from 1 species
AUUGAACGCUGGCGGCAUGCUUUACACAUGCAAGUCGAACGGCAGCGCGGGCUUCGGCCUGGUGGCGAGUGGCGAACGGGUGAGUAAUACAUCGGAACGUGCCCAGUAGUGGGGGAUAGCUCGGCGAAAGCCGGAUUAAUACCGCAUACGACCUGGGGGUGAAAGCGGGGGAUCUUCGGACCUCGCGCUAUUGGAGCGGCCGAUGGCAGAUUAGCUAGUUGGUGGGGUAAAGGCCUACCAAGGCGACGAUCUGUAGCUGGUCUGAGAGGACGACCAGCCACACUGGGACUGAGACACGGCCCAGACUCCUACGGGAGGCAGCAGUGGGGAAUUUUGGACAAUGGGCGAUAGCCUGAUCCAGCAAUGCCGCGUGUGUGAUGAAGGCCUUCGGGUUGUAAAGCACUUUUGGCGGGAACGAAAAGGACUGUGCCAAUACCACGGUUCGAUGACGGUACCCGCAGAAUAAGCACCGGCUAACUACGUG